rnacentral:rRNA from 1 species
GGUGAAAAGCACCCCGGAAGGGGAGUGAAAUAGAACCUGAAACCGUGUGCUUACAAGUAGUCAGAGCCCGUUAAUGGGUGAUGGCGUGCCUUUUGUAGAAUGAACCGGCGAGUUACGAUUUGAUGCAAGGUUAAGCAGUAAAUGUGGAGCCGUAGCGAAAGCGAGUCUGAAUAGGGCGUUUAGUAUUUGGUCGUAGACCCGAAACCAGGUGAUCUACCCUUGGUCAGGUUGAAGUUCAGGUAACACUGAAUGGAGGACCGAACCGACUUACGUUGAAAAGUGAGCGGAUGAACUGAGGGUAGCGGAGAAAUUCCAAUCGAACCUGGAGAUAGCUGGUUCUCUCCGAAAUAGCUUUAGGGCUAGCCUCAAGUGAUGAUUAUUGGAGGUAGAGCACUGUUUGGACGAGGGGCCCCUCUCGGGUUACCGAAUUCAGACAAACUCCGAAUGCCAAUUAAUUUAACUUGGGAGUCAGAACAUGGGUGAUAAGGUCCGUGUUCGAAAGGGAAACAGCCCAGACCACCAGCUAAGGUCCCAAAAUAUAUGUUAAGUGGAAAAGGAUGUGGCGUUGCCCAGACAACUAGGAUGUUGGCUUAGAAGCAGCCAUCAUUUAAAGAGUGCGUAAUAGCUCACUAGUCGAGUGACACUGCGCCGAAAAUGUACCGGGGCUAAACAUAUUACCGAAGCUGUGGAUUGUCCUUUGGACAAUGGUAGGAGAGCGUUCUAAGGGCGUUGAAGCAUGAUCGUAAGGACAUGUGGAGCGCUUAGAAGUGAGAAUGCCGGUGUGAGUAGCG